rnacentral:rRNA from 1 species
ACCUACGGGGGGCAGCAGUGAGGAAUAUUGGUCAAUGGGCGGGAGCCUGAACCAGCCAAGCCGCGUGAGGGAAGAAGGUACAGCGUAUCGUAAACCUCUUUUGUCAGGGAACAAAGGCGGGGACUAGUCCCCGGAUGAGGGUACCUGAAGAAAAAGCAUCGGCUAACUCCGUGCCAGCAGCCGCGGUAAUACGGAGGAUGCGAGCGUUAUCCGGAUUUAUUGGGUUUAAAGGGUGCGCAGGCGGCCGGUUAAGUCAGCGGUAAAACCCCGGGGCUCAACCCCGUCGAGCCGUUGAAACUGGCGGG